rnacentral:rRNA from 1 species
GGUUUGACUCCGGAGAGGCAGCCUGAGAGACGGCUACCAGUUCUAAGGAACGCAGCAGGCGCGCAAAUUACACAAUGACAGUAAACUGUUGAUGUAGUGACAAGAGGUAACGGGGCAGUCCUCUAUGAGGCCCGUCAUUGUAUUGAGUAAAACCCAAAAUAUUUAACGAAACCAAUUGGAGGGCAAGUCUGGUGCCAGCAGCCGCGGUAAUUCCAGCUCCAAAAGCAUAUAUUAAAGUUGUUGCGGUUAAAAAGCUCGUAGUUGGAUCCAUGACCUCGGAGGGCGGUCCCCCACUGGGUGCGUACUGCUGCUCCGAGUCCUAUCUGUCAGUUUGUCUGUGUUGCCUUUAAUCGGGUGGCACAGGUGACUGACGUGUUUACUUUGAAAAAAUUAGAGUGUUUAAAGCAGGCGUUGAAUGCCUGAAUAGUGGUGCAUGGAAUAAUGGAAUAGGAUCUCGGUUCUAUUUUGUUGGUUCAAGAGCAUGAGAAAAUGAUUAAGAGGGACAGACGGGGGCAUUUGUAUUGCUGCGUUAGAGGUGAAAUUCUUGGAUCGUAGCAAGACAAACUACUGCGAAGGCAUUUGCCAAGAAUGUUUUCAUUAAUCAAGAACGAAAGUUAGAGGUUCGAAGGCGAUCAGAUACCGCCCUAGUUCUAACCGUAAACCAUGUCGACUAGCUAUCUGUCAGCGUUAAUAAUGACCUGACAGGCAGCUUACCGGAAACGAAAGUUUCUCGAUUCCGGGGGUAGUAUGGUUGCAAAGCUGAAACUUAAAGGAAUUGACGGAAGGGCACCACCAGGAGUGGAGCCUGCGGCUUAAUUUGACCCAACACGGGAAAACUCACCCGGCCCGGACACCGUAAGGAUUGACAGAUUAAUAGCUCUUUCUCGAUUUGGUGAUUGGUGGUGCAUGGCCGUUCUUAGUUGGUGGAGCGAUUUGUCUGGUUAAUUCCGAUAACGAACGAGAUUCUAACUUACUAACUAGUUCCACGAUCCUUGUGGUCCUAAAUACUUCUUAGAGGGAAAACCGGCAUUUAGUCGAACGAGAUUGAGCAAUAACAGGUCUGUGAUGCCCUUAGAUGUCCGGGGCUGCACGCGUGCUACACUGAAGGAAUCAGCGUGUUUUUCCCUUGCCUGUAAUGGCUGGGUAACCGACUGAAUCUCCUUCGUGUUAGGGAUAGAUCAUUGAAACUAGUGAUCUUCAACUUGGAAUUCCUGGUACGUUUGAGUCAUAAGCUCAAGCAGAUUACGUCCCUGCCCUUUGUACACACCGCCCGUCGCUACUACCGACUGGCAAUAUCUUUGAGACACUUGGAGCGGCCGUGAGCUACCCUAACCGGUAACUCACGGCUGCGAAAAGGUUCGAAAAGGUUUUGCUGGAGGAAGUAAAAGUCGUAACAAGGUU